AGAGUUUGAUCCUGGCUCAGAUUGAACGCUGGCGGUAUGCUUAACACAUGCAAGUCGAACGGAAACGAUGGUAGCUUGCUACCAGGCGUCGAGUGGCGGACGGGUGAGUAACGCGUAGGAAUCUGCCUGAUAGUGGGGGAUAGCCCAGAGAAAUCUGGAUUAAUACCGCAUAAUCUCUAUGGAGUAAAGGAGCCCUCUUCUUGAAAGGUUUCGCUAUCAGAUGAGCCUGCGUAAGAUUAGCUUGUUGGUGAGGUAAAAGCUCACCAAGGCGACGAUCUUUAGCUGGUCUGAGAGGAUGAUCAGCCACACUGGAACUGAGACACGGUCCAGACACCUACGGGAGGCAGCAGUGGGGAAUAUUGGACAAUGGGCGCAAGCCUGAUCCAGCAAUACCGCGUGUGUGAAGAAGGCCUGAGGGUUGUAAAGCACUUUCAAUUGUGAAGAAAAGCUAAUGGCUAAUACCCAUUAGCCUUGACGUUAACUUUAGAAGAAGCACCGGCUAACUCCGUGCCAGCAGCCGCGGUAAUACGGAGAGUGCAAGCGUUAAUCGGAAUUACUGGGCGUAAAGCGUGCGUAGGUGGUUUGUUAAGUUAGAUGUGAAAGCCCUGGGCUCAACCUAGGAACUGCACUUAAAACU
rnacentral:rRNA from 1 species